GACGAACGCUGGCGGCGUGCUUAACACAUGCAAGUCGAACGGAAAGGCCCUGCUUUUGUGGGGUGCUCGAGUGGCGAACGGGUGAGUAACACGUGAGUAACCUGCCCUUGACUUUGGGAUAACUUCAGGAAACUGGGGCUAAUACCGGAUAGGAGCUCCUGCUGCAUGGUGGGGGUUGGAAAGUUUCGGCGGUUGGGGAUGGACUCGCGGCUUAUCAGCUUGUUGGUGGGGUAGUGGCUUACCAAGGCUUUGACGGGUAGCCGGCCUGAGAGGGUGACCGGCCCCAUUGGGACUGGACACCCGCCCAGCCCCCUCCGGGGGGCGGCAGGGGGGAAUUUUGCCAAAGGGGCGGGAGCCUGCUGCCGCAACGCCGCGUGGGGGAUGCGGGCCUUCGGGUAGUAUACCGCUUCCGCCGGUGAGAAGGCGUGAGGGACGGUAAUGGGAAAAGAAGCCCCGGCUAACUACGUG
rnacentral:rRNA from 1 species